UUGCUUUCUAUGGCUGGUUUUGUUUGUAUAUGAUUAUAGUUGUUUGUGGUCUUUCUUAAACUAUAUUUGUGUUUUUAUCUUAUAUGCAUAGUAAAUGGUGUAGUAAUAUUGUUUCGAUAUGGAAUAGCAUAUGUGUUACAUAUGGGUUCUACUGUCUGGAAAUGACAUGAUCUUCAUUAGGUAUAUUCAAUUUGACGUGAAAUAUAAUAAAAUAUAGACGUUUGUAUUCCAUUUGACUUGGAAUAAAAUAAAUUCGAACAUUUAAUAUCACCUUCUUUAAUUUCUGAAUUCAUACUUGUGUUUUAUUUAUGUAUUUUUAUACUUUUACUAGGAUUUAUAUUUCUGUGUAGGGUUUGGUGAUGAUUGGAGAGGGGUUAGCUUUAGGAAAUUUAGUUCGUCAUUGCAAGAUUGGGGUUGACAUUGGAUUAAGUGUCAUAUUUCUGUUUAGGAUUUCAUGAUUAGUUGAUAG
rnacentral:lncRNA from 1 species